GAUGAACGCUGGCGGCGUGCUUAACACAUGCCAGUCAAACGGAAAGUCCCAAGCUUGCUUGGCUACUCGAGUGGCGAACGGGUGAUUAACACGUGGGUGAUCUGCCCUCCACUUCGGGAUAAGCCUGUGAAACUCGGUCUAAUACCGGAUAGGACCACUUCUUGGAUGUUGUGGUGGAAAUUUUUCUCGGUGUGGGAUGCGCUCGCGUCCUAUCAGCUUGUUGGUGGGGUAAUGGCCUACCAAGGCGUCGACGGGUAGCCGGCCUGAGAGGGUGUAAGGCCAGAGUGGGACUGAGACACGGCCCAGACUCCUACGGGAGGCAGCAGUGGGGAAUAUUGCACAAUGGGCGCAAGCCUGAUGCAGCGACGCCGCGUGGGGGAGGACGGCCUUCGGGUGGGAAACUGCUUUCGCUAGGGACGAAGCGUUUUUGUGACGGUACCUGGAGAAGAAGCACCGGCUAACUACGUG
rnacentral:rRNA from 1 species